AACUUCGGACUUCGCCUCGGCAUCUUUGAUCGCCUGCUGUUCAUAGGCCAGCUGAAUCUUCAACUACUGUAGUUCAGCCUUCUCCUGCCCAAGGGCCAUGGACAGUUCUUCUUUUUGGAUCGUCUCGAUUUAAAAAGACUCCAGCACCAGCAUGCCAAAUGCCAAAAUAUUUGGACACUACCAAGUACGAAAAUCGAGGGAGACAACUUCGG
rnacentral:lncRNA from 1 species